CUUAUACUCCCUCCGUCCGGAAAUACUUGUCCUAGAGAUGAAUGUAUCUAGACUUAUUUUAGUUAUAGAUACAUUCAUUAUAUUCAUUUUUAGAACAAGUAUUUCCGGACGAAGGGUAUUUA
rnacentral:pre_miRNA from 1 species